UACGGGGGGGGUAAGCGUUGUUCGGAAUUACUGGGCGUAAAGGGCUCGUAGGCGGCCAACUAAGUCGGACGUGAAAUCCCUCAGCUUAACUGGGGAACUGCGUCCGAUACUGACAGGCUUGAAUCCGGGAGAGGGAUGCGGAAUUCCAGGUGUAGCGGUGAAAUGCGUAGAUAUCUGGAGGAACACCGGUGGCGAAGGCGGCAUCCUGGACCGGCAUUGACGCUGAGGCGCGAAAGCUAGGGGAGCAAACGGGG
rnacentral:rRNA from 1 species